CCUACGGGAGGCAGCAGUGAGGAAUAUUGGUCAAUGGGCGCGAGCCUGCACCAGCCAAGUAGCGUGAAGGAUGACUGCCCUACGGGUUGUAAACUUCUUUUAUAAGGGAAUAAAGUGAGGCACGUGUACUUUUUUGUAUGUACUUUAUGAAUAAGGAUCGGCUAACUCCGUGCCAGCAGCCGCGGUAAUACGGAGGAUCCGAGCGUUAUACGGAUUUAUUGGGUUUAACGGGAGCGUAGAGGGGUUGUUAAGUCAGUUGUGAAAGUUUGCGGAUCAACCGUAAAAUUGCAAUUGAUACUGGCAGUCUUGAGGACAGUUGAGGUAGGCGGAAUUCGUGGUGUAGCGGUGAAAUGCUUAGAUAUCACGAAGAACUCCGAUUGCGAAGGCAGCCUACUAGACUGCCACUGACACUGAUGCUCGAAAGUGUGGGUAUCAAACAGGAUUAGAUACCCCAGUAGUC
rnacentral:rRNA from 1 species